rnacentral:sRNA from 1 species
GCCAGGCCUCGUGGCGCAUGCCUGCAAUCCCAGCAGCUCUGGAGGCUGAGGCAAGAGGAUCACGUGUUCAGAGCCAGUCUCAGCAAAAGUGAUGCACUAAGCAAUUCAGUGAGACCCUGUCUCCA